rnacentral:SRP_RNA from 1 species
GCUGGGCAUUGUGGCGGGCGCCUGUGGUCCCAGCUACUUGGGAGGCGGAGGCAGGAGACUCGCUUGAGCCCAGGAGUUGGAGGUUGCUGUGAGCUGUGAUGCCACAGCACUCUACCCAGGGGGACAGCUUGAGACUCUGUCUCAAAAAAAUAUAUAUAUAUUUAUGCUAUACUUUUUUUUUUUUUCUGAGACAGAGCCUCAAGCUAUUCCCCUGGGUAGAGUGCUGUGGCAUCACAGCUCACAGCAACCUCCAACUCCUGGGCUCAAGCGAGUCUCCUGCCUCAG